GAUGUAGUACUCAGUAAGUGAUGUAGUACACAGUGAGUAAAAGAAGUACACAGUGAGUGAUGACUAAGGAUAAUGGGAAUCUCUCUGAUAACCAGUGAAGAGAGACAUCCUUAUUUCUGACAUGUGUACUUUAUAUAAUAAAGUACACUUAACAACACCACUGAUGAAAGUAUUCUGCCAAAUGAGGGUCCGGUGAUAUGACCAUCUAGCCCGUAGAUAUAACUAUCUGAGGUGUUGUUUUGUGUAUCAUUUUUUACUGCAGAGGAUAUAUGGAGAAAUCAGUAACUUAGUACUAACAUCAAAGAAAGUUUAGGUCUUUAAACAAGUUUGAUGCAGCAAUUGAUUGAAGUAACACUUUUUUUAUCCUUUUCCCUGUUCAGUAUAUUGCAAGAGGCAAAUGGUUCCAAGGACCUGUAGUGUUGCUAAAAGUGGCAUGACUAGGUCUGGCACUACACAGACAACGGGAUUGAGCCAGCAAAGCCAAAUGAACAUGAUAACAAAUCUGUCAACAAGGAUACAAAUUGCAUGUAAGUGUUAAUUUUGGAUUUUCCAACACCUUAUUCUGUAACUGGCACAUGGCACCAGAUUUGUAAUGGUGGUCUGGAAAAAUUAACAUUAAAUUCAUUUUUAA